UACACAUGUUCCACGGGGCCUCUUUUAAAAGAUUCACCCUGUAUAUUAUUAUUGUAUUUUGUAUGUUUAUUAUUUUAUGGGAACUGCUUCAAUACUUUGACUUGAAGUGGUAUGUAUAUCCAGAUAAAUAAUAUCUUAAGUGCUGAGGCCUUAGCCCGUCAGAAUUCACAUGGUCAGUGGUGUGUUCCAUGGUGAAACCACUGUAAGAACGAGACAUUUAAAAUUAGCCAUUUACCACAUAGACUUUUCAUGUGUCCUUUACAGAGGACCAUCCACUAUCUUUUUCCACCUCUAGAAAACAAGCUCCCCACUGCUUUGCCGCUUCUCCUCUCAGUAAGUGGGAGCAACAUGUCAUGUUGGGAAACCAGAAGAGCACUGCUGUACCUGCCCUGCUUGCUACUGGAUCAUCAAUGGGUAUUUAGCACUAUUAUGACGUGGUUUUUAAGUGAAUCAAGCCAUAGAGGUCCGUUUUUCUAAGUUCAUGUCAAUCACAGUAAAAAUAAGCAAUUUCAUCCCACAGUUAUGGCCUUCAUCCACUUAUAUUUUCUUAGAUUAUGGCCAUGUUGUACUUUUCUGAGGUGAGAAAAACAAAUUUAAUGUUUGUUGUAACUUGAAAUAUUGCUGUAAAAUGGUUGGCCUAAUGCGGGAAUUGUGUGUCAUGUGUGAAUGUAAUUGCAAGUACUACCACUUUUUAGAGGUGCCAUAAUGGCAGAAUUAACUACUAUAUGUUUGGUAGGAUUAACUUCUAAUUCAGGGUGGUACCUGACUUAAGUCAUACUCAAAGUAGAUCCAUUAAAACAGUGGAUCAAGUUAAUCAUGACAAACUUGUUCAUUGAUUUCAGUGGAUUUACUAUGACUCAGUUGAAUAUAACAUUCAUAGUUUUUUGUGAUAGAGUGAUAUAUACACACACCCUACUGGGUUAGUAAUUUGAACCUUUGACCUUAUUUGCUGAAAAUAUCAUUUUAGUUUAGAAAACUAGAGAAUCACACAAAUGCAGAUACUGUGUAAGAAGAGACAUCUUUUAAAAGGACUGCUGUAAUAAAUAGAUUGUGGCAUUCAAGAUACAGUACAGGAAAUGAAAUGCUAUCUUCAAAGAUACGGUCUUUUUCAAAAACUAGUAACUGCAUUUCUAGCCCUUUCAUUCUCUUCAGAUUUUUUAAAACUUCAAUUGUAAUAGAUCAUUGUAUGUGAUCCAUUACAGCAUAUGAUCUAUUACAGUGCAUCUGAGAAGGGAAGAGAGAUUAAAAGCACUAAAAAUGAAUGCUCAUAUUUUACCUUUGGUUUGCAUGUAAUACAGGGAAUAAUUACAUAAGCUUUUCUAUACCUAAUAGAAUGGGACCUCCCUCCUCCUUCUAUUCCUUAAACCAUUUUAAGACUUUCUAAUAUUAUUAGAUAGUAUUGGUGAAAUAUAUCUUAUUUUUAUUCAGAAAUAACUCUGACAGUGCCAGAUGUAAAUGCUGGGUUUUCUUUUUCUUUUUUCUUUGGAUUAUUGAGAUUGCUUUUAACUGCAACUCGAUUGCUGAAAUCAUAAGGUGAAGGUUUUCAGAGUAUGGAGAUAAGCAAUAUUAUGUUCUAAUCUGUGCAGAUCAAGUUUCUGUGGGCUGGUUAAAAAAAGGUGUCAAGCCUUGCUAUCAUUGUUGGUAUUCCUCGGUCUCGAGCGACAAUGGUGUGUGCCUCCAGGGGUGAAGUGAAACCACUGUGUUAGCUGCACCAAAGUGACUUCCCAGGGGUACAAGUUGUGUAUGGAGGUUGUGGGCUGCCCAGAGUACAAGACCCCCCUCUCAGCCAUGCUGAUGUGGCCCACAGGAAAGCAGAGCAAUCCAUUGGACACCAUCUUUGCUGCAGGAGUUGCUGGAAUGAGGUGUACAAGGCACCAUUCAACCUCUCUACUCUACUCUGGGUUCUUCUUUUCAGGGUGUGGUUGCUGUGGCAUGCUGGUAGCUUCUAGGAGCCACGGGUGAGAGCUGAGUUCAAGGUGUGGACCAGAAGGAGCACAAUAUGCCUCCCACCACAGGCACUACCCCUUCCCUAAUACCCCAUUCACAUACAGAUUAUCAACACAUCUGAUAAUUUGAUUUUCAUGUCCUUCCUACUCCGUGGUUCUAAAUAUCUAGAUCCCUAUGGGUUGCUGCCACUGUGAACACAUAACAUUUAAGCCUGACUAUAGACAUGUCAGGUUGCCAUUUCUAAAGAUGGCAGAGCAGUCUUAAGUGGUGCCAGCUGCCAUUUCCAAACCAAUGUGGGUUUGCAGCAGCUAGAGUGAGAGGUCUGUGCAUGUCGUCGUUUUUUAAAACCAUCCAAUUGAAACCAAGAGGAAGGAAAUUAACUAUGCCAGCUCCAAACUGAUGCAGUUGGUACACCUGAUCCUGGGGCCUCUCAGAGGAAUGAAGGGGCUUUGGAUUCAAGGCUAUCUCUAUCCUACCCUUACCUUAUCCACAGAAUGCCCUGUGCAAGACCUACUGACAGCAAAAACAUAUCCUGCAGACCCUUAUGAUAAUGUGUACUGAGUUGCUUGUAGUAUUCUGGAUUCUACUCUCCAUAAUACUAUGGGGGAAAUUGUUAAUUUUAAAUUCUGUACUUUGAAAGGAUUAAAUAAAUAGAAUAUUUAGUUUUGUAAGGCUUCAUUAAAGCUGGAGUGGGGGGAAGUCAUCAGUCAGGAUAACAAGCCAGGAUUGUUCAUGAAUUGAAAUUGGGUACUGAGUUUUGGCAUUCUUUUCUGUUCAUUGCUCUUAGGACUACUGUUUAGGCCUAUUUGAUAUUCUGUGAUGGCUCACAAGAGGGGAAAAUGGGAUGCAAGUUUCCAUAGUACCUUACAGUGCAUUUCAUACUUUCUUAGCCUCAUAUUCCCUCUUUGUAUGUGCAUGCAUAUGUACAUUCAGUCUCCACUCAGUUUUGUUUUAAAGAAUAUAUAAGAUCGUGCCUACUGUUAUAUUAACAAGUAUGAACAGAGAUUUGUCUUUGAUAUUCAUGUACAUAUUUACCUCAAGAAUUCUCCUAUCUGCACUCUUUUGAUAAGUACCAGGAAUCUGGGAACAAUAAAUAGGUUAUGAGAAAUUCUCAGCAGCACCAAUGAAAAAAAACAGCAACAAAGCCUGAAAAUUGUCUGAUGUUAAGUUGUGGUAAAGCCCUCUUUUUAUAGAUGCUGUAGAAGUUCAGGUAGUAAAUCUGAUUUCUUGAAAAAUGCAUUUUGUUGAAACAUCCCACUGGAAAAUAUAAGACUGAACACACAUUUAUAUGGUACUUACUUGAACAAGCAGGCUUUUGUAAUUGCAGUCUAUAAUUUUGUCCUGGAAAUAUAUACAAUGAACAACUAGUUAAAAUAAUUGAAUAUCAACUCAAUAAUCAACACAAUUUGUUGAUUUGUUUGUCCCAGUUCUGAACAGAAUGAGUGUCAAAUAUUUUUCCUUCUCCUUUUCUGCUAUUUGAAUUGUUUGCCUUCUAAAAUUCCUUCCACCUUUAUAUUUGUUCUGUCACAUGCCAUGCUAUUAGGCUGGGGUGGCCAUACUACAUAUUAAGACUUU